rnacentral:tRNA from 1 species
UUAGGUUAAUAAAAAUAGUGGGUUACAAUCAGUUGAUUAACUUUUAACCAAUUGGCCAUAGGUUCGAAUCCUAUACGACCCA